rnacentral:rRNA from 1 species
AGAGUUUGAUCCUGGUUCAGGAUGAACGCUAGCGGCAGGCCUAACACAUGCAAGUCGAACGGUAAGGUCCCGAGUAAUCGGGAUACACGAGUGGCGCACGGGUGAGUAACGCGUAUGCAACCUACCCUUAACUGGGGGAUAGCCCGGAGAAAUUCGGAUUAAUACCCCAUAACAUUAUGAUCUUGUAUAAGAUUAUGAUUAAAACUCCGGUGGUUAAGGAUGGGCAUGCGUGACAUUAGAUUGUUGGUGAGGUAACGGCUCACCAAGUCUACGAUGUCUAGGGGGCCUGAGAGGGUGAUCCCCCACACUGGUACUGAGACACGGACCAGACUCCUACGGGAGGCAGCAGUGAGGAAUAUUGCGCAAUGGACGAAAGUCUGACGCAGCCAUGCCGCGUGCAGGAUGAUGGCCUUAUGGGUUGUAAACUGCUUUUUUACAGGAAGAACUUCCCCUACGUGUAGGGGACUGACGGUACUGUAUGAAUAAGCACCGGUUAACUCCGUGUUAGUAGUUGCGGUAAUACGGAGGGUGCAAGCGUUAUCCGGAUUUAUUGGGUUUAAAGGGUGCGUAGGCGGGAUAAUAAGUCAGUGGUGAAAUACUGCAGUUUAACUGUAGAACUGCCAUUGAUACUGUUAUUCUUGAGUGCGAUUGAGGUAGGCGGAAUGUGUAAUGUAGUGGUGAAAUGUUUAGAUAUUACACAGAAUACCGAUUGCGUAGGCAGCUUACUAAGUCGUAACUGACGCUGAGGCACGAAAGCGUGGGGAUCGAACAGGAUUAGAUACCCUGGUAGUCCACGCUGUAAACGAUGAUCACUAGCUGUUGGUGAUAUAUUGAUCAGCGGCAAAGCGAAAGCAUUAAGUGAUCCACCUGGGGAGUACGAUUGUAAGAUUGAAACUCAAAGGAAUUGACGGGGGCCCGCACAAGCGGAGGAACAUGCGGUUUAAUUCGAUGAUACGCGAGGAAUUUUAUCUGGGCUUAAAUGCAGAACGACGAUUCGGGAAACCGAUUCUCCCUUUGGGGUGGACUGCAAGGUGCUGCAUGGUUGUCGUCAGCUCGUGUUGUGAGGUGUUGGGUUAAGUCCCAUAACGAGCGCAACCCUUAUCGUUAGUUGUUAGUGGGUUAUGUUGGGGACUCUAACGAAACUGCCGGUGUAAACCGAGAGGAAGGUAGGGAUGACGUCAAAUCAGCACGGCCCUUAUGUCCAGGGCUACACACGUGUUACAAUGGUCGGUACAGAGGGUAGUUAUUUGGUGAUAGGAUGCUAAUCUCGAAAGCCGGUCUUAGUUCGGAUCGAAGUUUGUAAUUCGACUUCGUGAAGCUGGAUUCGCUAGUAAUCGCGCAUCAGCCAUGGCGCGGUGAAUACGUUCCCGGGUUUUGUAUAUACCGCCCGUCAAGCCAUGGAAGUUGGGGGUAUUUGAAG